rnacentral:rRNA from 1 species
CCUACGGGAGGCAGCAGUGGGGAAUUUUGGACAAUGGGGGCAACCCUGAUCCAGCAAUGCCGCGUGAGUGAAGAAGGCCUUCGGGUUGUAAAGCUCUUUUGUCAGGGAAGAAACGGUUGUGGCUAAUAUCCAUGGCUAAUGACGGUACCUGAAGAAUAAGCACCGGCUAACUACGUGCCAGCAGCCGCGGUAAUACGUAGGGUGCAAGCGUUAAUCGGAAUUACUGGGCGUAAAGCGUGCGCAGGCGGUUUUAUAAGACAGAGGUGAAAUCCCCGGGCUCAACCUGGGAACUGCCUUUGUGACUGUAAGGCUAGAGUGUGUCAGAGGGGGGUAGAAUUCCACGUGUAGCAGUGAAAUGCGUAGAUAUGUGGAGGAAUACCGAUGGCGAAGGCAGCCCCCUGGGAUAACACUGACGCUCAUGCACGAAAGCGUGGGGAGCAAACAGGAUUAGAUACCCGAGUAGUC